UGAUUCAAGGGGGAGAUGAAGGUACGCGUCUUAGUAAACAAAGGUGAAAUUUAGAUUUCAGUAAGACUACUCCACUUAUUCUCUGUAAUCUUUGAGAUAAAUGAGGAUUAGAUACCCUUCUAUACUCUGAGGAACAUACCUAAGGUAGUAGUUGUUAUAAGCUUGAAACCUAAAGGACUUGGCGGCGGUCAAUAAGAUCAGAGGAACCUGUCCUGUAAUUGAUACUCCACACUAUAUCUUACCUCGUAAAUGCUCGUAUACCGUCGCCUAAAGUUUCCUUAGAGGGAAAGUUGGUUAGAGGUAGUUACAAGCAAGGCAGAUCAAGGUGCGGCCUUACAAGGCUGAGAUGGGUUACAAUUAAUCCAACAUUGGAUUGCCCGGUGAAAUACGACUGAAAUUGGAUUUGAAAGUAAUCAAAGUUUAUAUAUGCUUCGAUGAGUCUUUU
rnacentral:rRNA from 1 species